rnacentral:lncRNA from 1 species
CCCUUGAGCCAGUAUUAGUCUCAGAAAUAUCCAUGACAAUUUUGUUUGCACUAGUAAGAAAUUGAAAAUAGCCUAAACAGCAAAAGGAGAGUUGAAUAAAUAAAUUUCACUGUGGAAUUAGAAAAUGAAAUACUAUGUUGUUAAUAACGAAGGUGUUGUAGAAAACUAACAUCAUGGUAACAUUGGUACUAUAUUUUCAAGAGAGAUAAAGCAGAUUGUUAGGUAAUGAGUAGUUUGUGAACCAAUAAUGCAAAGAGAUUCUAUUUUGCCUCCCCAACCCCACAGCUCAGGUUUUUCUUCUCCUUUGGGCAACUGCUUAAAUUCAGAGGCAGCUACCAAAAGGAAACGUCUCUCUACCCCCUACUGUUUCUUCUGUGCAAAAGAAUGUAAAAUAUGAGGCUUCUCUUUCGCAUGUAGGCCUGAGAAGUUUUGACAAGAAUGUGUAUGCAGGGAGAAAUGACUGGUGAAAGAAUUUAGAAAGAAUGUAUGGGGACAAAAAGGAAUCACAUGAGCUGAUUUAAAUUCUUCUUGUGACAAGGGGAGAAAACAGAAGAAAAGUUGCAACAGAGUGAAAAAUCAGGAAAACCUCAUCGAGAUAGAUAUUCUGCCAGAGACAAAACGAAACCUCAUCGAGAUAGAUAUUCUGCCAGAGAAAAAUGAGACAUCAGAUAUGUGUGAUCACAGGUCAUAGACUCAGUGAAGGUGCCACUGUCACAAUGCUCUCAUGCCAAACCUUGACUGCAAAGCUGAGAUGUUAAUAUGGAACACCUGAGAGGGCUGGCACUUCAGCGUCCUUAUUCCUCCAGAACCACACCACAAAAGUCACCUUCUCCCCAGACAGAUUCUCUACAAAAUGCCUUGCAGCCGAGGUGUGGUGGAAAGAAUAUUGUAUUUGGAAUAAAAAAUUUUUGAUUUUGC